UACGAAGGGUGCAAACGUUGCUCGGAAUUAUUGGGCGUAAAGCGCACGUAGGCGGCUUGGCAAGUCGGAUGUGAAAUCCCUCGGCUCAACCAAGGAAGUGCAUCCGAAACUGCUGAGCUUGAGUACUUAAGAGGAUCGCGGAAUUCCCGGUGUAGAGGUGAAAUGCGUAGAGAUCAUGAGGAAGACCAGUGGCGAAGGCGGGUCUCUGGACAGUUCCUGACACUGAGGCACGAAGGCCAGGGGAGCAAACGGG
rnacentral:rRNA from 1 species